AGGCAGCAGUGGGGAAUAUUGCACAAUGGGCGGAAGCCUGAUGCAGCGACGCCGCGUGAGGGAUGACGGCCUUCGGGUUGUAAACCUCUUUCAGUAGGGAAGAAGCGUAAGUGACGGUACCUGCAGAAGAAGCGCCGGCUAACUACGUGCCAGCAGCCGCGGUAAUACGUAGGGCGCAAGCGUUAUCCGGAAUUAUUGGGCGUAAAGAGCUCGUAGGCGGUUUGUCGCGUCUGCUGUGAAAGACCGGGGCUCAACUCCGGUUCUGCAGUGGGUACGGGCAGACUAGAGUGAUGUAGGGGAGACUGGAAUUCCUGGUGUAGCGGUGAAAUGCGCAGAUAUCAGGAGGAACACCGAUGGCGAAGGCAGGUCUCUGGGCAUUAACUGACGCUGAGGAGCGAAAGCAUGGGGAGCGAACAGGAUUAGAUACCCUGGUAGUCCAUGCCGUAAACGUUGGGCACUAGGUGUGGGGGACAUUCCACGUUUUCCGCGCCGUAGCUAACGCAUUAAGUGCCCCGCCUGGGGAGUACGGCCGCAAGGCUAAAACUCAAAGGAAUUGACGGGGGCCCGCACAAGCGGCGGAGCAUGCGGAUUAAUUCGAUGCAACGCGAAGAACCUUACCAAGGCUUGACAUGAACCGGUAACGCCUGGAAACAGGUGCCCCGCUUGCGGUCGGUUUACAGGUGGU
rnacentral:rRNA from 1 species